AUGGAGCUAGACACCAUCAGGAGAUACACCAGCCCGGUGAGCCCAGCUGUCUUCCCCACGCAACCCUGUGUGCUGUUGGCCAUUGACGUGUUCUUCACCUCCUGGUUCUUCAUUUAUGAGGUUACCUCCACCAAGUGCACUCGGGAUAUCUAUAAAGAGCUCCUCAUCUCCUCAGUGGCCUCGCUCUUCCUGGGCUUUGGAGUCCUCUUCCUGCUGCUCUGGGUUCGCAUCUACGUAUGA